ensembl:rRNA 5S_rRNA 5S ribosomal RNA
ACCUGCAGGUCUCCUGUAUGGGGCUUGUCACCAAACUAGCUAAGCAGGCUCAGGCUGGGUCAAUACUUGGCUAGGAGACUUCCAAGAAACACCCUGCUGCUGCAGGAA